rnacentral:rRNA from 1 species
AACGAACGCUGGCGGCAUGCCUAACACAUGCAAGUCGAACGAGACCUUCGGGUCUAGUGGCGCACGGGUGCGUAACGCGUGGGAACCUGCCCUUAGGUUCGGAAUAACUCCCCGAAAGGGGUGCUAAUACCGGAUAAUGUCUUCGGACCAAAGAUUUAUCGCCUUUGGAUGGGCCCGCGUUGGAUUAGCUAGUUGGUAGGGUAAAAGCCUCCCAAGGCGACGAUCCAUAGCUGGUCUGAGAGGAUGAUCAGCCACACUGGGACUGAGCCACGGCCCAGACUCCUACGCGAGGCAGCAGUGGCGAAUAUUGGACUACGGGCGAAAGCCUGAUCCAGCACUGCCGCGUGAGUGAUGAAGGCCUUAGGGUUGUAAAGCUCUUUUACCCGGGAUGAUAAUGACAGUACCGGGAGAAUAAGCUCCGGCUAACUCCGUG